GAACAAUAUUAAAGCUUUAUGUGAGUUCUCCGAGGAGCCAGCAGAUUGGAUGCCCUUGCAAAGGUCUGGGUCUCAUUGCAUGGAAUGGUCCAUCACAACACUGCAGCUAUGGAAAUUCACACCAUUUCGCCACAUAUCAAUAAACCUCAAUAUAAUUUCAGUGACACUGGGUUGAGGUUUCUUGGUUGCCCCGUCUCCAAGUCAACUUCAUUAUAUGAAAGCGGAUUAAAGGGCUCCUGGGGGCCCAGAUGAAGAAUACGCAUUAUAUAAUGUAAAACUAAAAUCAGUGGACCUCAGCUGGAACUGAGAAGCAGCUAAAAAAAGACUCAACCAGAGAAAAGAGUGAAAGCAACUGACUGUGGAGUUUCUAGAUGUGAGUCAGAACUGACGGUGUGUUCCUACCCAGCCUGGGAUGAUGUCACUGUGCAUACCAGACACUAUGGUGAGAGAAACCACGUACAGUGUAGAAGCACAGAAUGGGAAGAUUUCAAGACCUCCAGUUCCAAUCAUCAUAAGGUGCCCAGAAAAGCUCGCCUAGGAGUAGUGGCCUGGAGCUCCAACUAGACCAGACAUAUUCAUUUGCUUUUGUCCAGCCUAACGAAGCUGCGUGUGAAGCUCAGCAUUAACACCCAUGUGAGAACUCCGCCGAGUGAGCUGCCACUGGAAGGGUAUCAGAAUAGGUAUAAACUUACCACCGGAAUCAUGAAAUGUAUAUUCAAGACAUCUUGCAUUGUGACUGCUAUAAAGGAGCAACUGUCAUUCUGCAGGUGAUUACUUUGGGACAGACAGCGCUACCAGCCAGGGUACUGCAUCAUAUAUUUUGGCUUCUUCAUU